GGGGAAUCUUGCGCAAUGGGCGAAAGCCUGACGCAGCGACGCCGCGUGGGUGAUGAAGGCCUUCGGGUCGUAAAGCUCUGUGGGGAGAGACGAAUAAGACGUGGCUAACAUCCACGGCGAUGACGGUAUCUCCUUAGCAAGCACCGGCUAACUCUGUGCCAGCAGCCGCGGUGAGACAGAGGGUGCAAACGUUGUUCGGAAUUACUGGGCGUAAAGCGUGUGUAGGCGGCCAGAGAAGUGGGGUGUGAAAGCCCGGGGCUCAACCCCGGAAGUGCACUCAAUACUGUUUGGCUUGAGUAUCGGAGAGGUUGGUGGAAUUCUCGGUGUAGAGGUGAAAUUCGUAGAUAUCGAGAGGAACAUCGGUGGCGAAGGCGGCCAACUGGACGAAUACUGACGCUGGGACACGAAAGCGUGGGGAGCAAAC
rnacentral:rRNA from 1 species